rnacentral:rRNA from 1 species
GAUGAACGCUGGCGGCGUGCUUAACACAUGCAAGUCGAACGGGAAACCUUUUAUUGAAGCUUCGGCAGGUUUAGCUGGUUUCUAGUGGCGGACGGGUGAGUAACUCGUGGGUAACCUGCCUUAUACAGGGGGAUAACAACCAGAAACGGUUGCUAAUACUGCACAAGAGCAUAGGACCGCAUGGUCCGGUUUGGAAAACACCGGUUGUAUAAGAUGGACCCGAGUAGGAUUAGCUAGUUGGCAGGGUAACGGCCUACCACGGCGACGAGCCAUAGCCUGCCUGAGAGGGUGAACGGCCACAUUGGGACUGAGACACGGCCCAGACUCCUACGGGAUGCAGCAGUGGGGAAUAUUGCACCAUCGCGUAAGCCCUGAUGCAGCUACGCCGCGUGAAGGAAGAAGUUUGUCGGUAUGUAAUCUUCUAGCAGCAGUGCAGAUAGUGACGGUACCUGACUAAGAAGCCCCGGCUAACUACGUG